rnacentral:lncRNA from 1 species
AUUUACAAUAUUUUUUGUCCGAGCUGAAGUCAUUUAAGAGCUCACAUUUAUUCUCUGAUUGUUAAAUGUUUUAAUUUUACAAUCAAGUAUUUGAAUUUCUGGGUUUUAUUUUGGCAUAAGGCAAGAAUCUUUACUGGUCAAAUAAUGGAUCUAUUUUAGCUGGUUUAAGGUGAGAGGGAUUUAUUACAUAGUUUAAGCUAAUUCACUGAAUUACCAGGAGGGUAAGGGCACAAAACUUGGAUGCCACACAGCCAAGAGCAAGAAAUCUUCGAUCACCCCAUGUGAGUAUUUUAGGGGAAACCCACUACUGCUGUAUGCUAGGGACUGGAGAGAAGAACUCCCACUUUAGCAGCCCCAGAACAGUUAAAUAACUCUACCAAGAGGCCCAGUUUCCUGGGGCACUCUUAUCACAUCGUGGUGCCCAUUUCUGCCUUCCAAUGGGCAGAGAACGUGUAGUGAACUGGGAUCUCUUAGAUAUGCAUCUAGACAUGUAUCUCCUAAGCAAAACCCAUGCCUUAAAAGUAUAACAAAGCUAACACUAUGCAAUGCUUAUUGCAUGCCAAGCAUUGCUCUAAGGGCUUUUACAGAUAUUAACUAAUUUAAGUUUUACAGUCUCCUCUGAAAGGGUAUUGUUAUUAUCCCCAUUUUGCAUACAAGGAAGCCGAGACACAGAGUUAAGUGAUUACCCAAUAUCACAAAGCUAUUGGAUGGCAGACCUAGAAUUUUUACCCAGGCUGUCCAGCUCCUGAAUCUGUGCUUUCAACCAUUGUGUUGUACAGCUUGUGGUUUUAAGCUUCCCAGCUUCUAUGGUACAAGAAGCCAAGUUGGAAAGAGGUGGGAGUGGGUGCUGAAAUCAGUCUAUUUGCAGUCCUGCACAGGCACUAAUCUAAUUUUUCCAAAGAGCUGCUCAGUUUCCUAGUGCCAUUUAUUGAAUAAUCCUACUUUCUUUAUUGAUUUAU